AGAUCCUCUACGAGCUCUUCCUGCAGGGAGUUCUCACUCACCAGAACUAGACAGUUGUACAGAUGGUUUUGAACACCAUAGUGACUUAAAUUCUCCUCCAGACAGGUAACAAAGAUCACCUGUGAAUGAACCUUAUGAUUAUAUUUUUUAAAAAAAAUUGUAUAAAGAAAGUGAGUUGAUGUGGUAGAGCAAUCUUGAGGUUUUUCAUCAAAACAGCAUCUUGUCAUUGCAUCCUUACCGGGGGCUUGCAACGGACUGCAGUUAAUUUUAAUUAUUUAGUUAAUUAAAUUUAUUUUAUUUUAAUGCUUGGUUAUUUAGCUUGCCAGAUGACUGGUUAGCUUCAAUUUUCCGUUCUUUGUUUCUGCAAUAUUCAGGAUCAUGAGAACAUACUGAAUCCUGGGUUUUGUGCUAACAAUGUUUUCAAUCAUUGGGGAACAAAAUCUGACAACAGAGACAGUCUUUUUUUAACCCCACCAAGUUUACACCUGCAUUUUUUGUGUGUAAAAGCAUAAGCAGCUGUCGUACAUAUGAAUGAAUGGUUAUAAACCUGUUAUAAUGGAAGUCUGAAGACCCCAGAUUCAGUAUUGAAGCUGAACUCCCGUGGUGAACUCUAGUAUGCUUUUGUUCAUGUACAUAUGAGGAUUGCUUUUUAAUUAAGCCUUUGGAUAUAUUUCCUUUGUUUUAUCUUUUUUUUUCUUUUUUCUUUUUUCUUUUUCAUGUAAGUCCUGUUGCUAAUAUCUCAGUUGUCCUCUUGGAUAUUCUCAUUACAGCCCAAGAGUUAAGUCUCAGCACUCUGAUAAGCAGUAUGUGGUGGAUAUUCAGCCUUUGUACAUUGGCUUGUUUUUCCUUUAGGCAUCAAGAGCUUUCUGGAAAUUCUCCAUUACCUGUUGCUCCUUUGCCAGAGAACAACAGUUUACUUCAUGAUCACCCUGGCUUUCAAAAGGUGGUGAGUUUGUGUUAAAAAUUCAGGAGCAUUUUUAUGAAGCUGAAUGCAUUUUACAUUUCUGCAAAAAACAGUGCUUACUUCAGGUCACAAAAUGUGCUAUAAGGACAGUAUUAAGGACACUUCAGUAUCCUCUAAUAACAGGAUCUACCAAGCCAAACUAUAUUCUUCCUGCAAGAAUAUCUUAAAGGUAUAUACAUCUUAAGAAAUCUAAAAAUGCUGAAGUCUACAAAGCUCUCUCCUGCACUGUGUUCCAAGUGGUGGGAUAAGUUGACCUCACUGGACUACAACCAUGCAAGAAACAGCUUCUUCACAUACAGCUAAUAGGGAAACCUUUUAGUUCUUCCCAAUUCAGAAAUGCCCAGCAGAAGUUUGAAAUAUGCUAAAACCAAACCUAAAACUCAAUCGAUCACCAAUGGCCAAGUUUGGGAAACAACGGUUUGAGGGUCUCUGCCCUAAACCUUCACAUGCCUGUGUAGGUCCCUCCUUCAUGAUUUACUUUCACAGCAGUAGAUGACAAAAACCCACACUUCACUUCCCUCCACAAGACUCUGGUGCACUGGACCAUUAUCGUCUGAGAUACUCCACAAAGCAAGGAAACUGUCUCUUCAGAAACCUGUGCAUCAAACCUACUCCCCAAACACAUCAUGAAGCUUCUGAAUCUGAGUCUGUGGACUGGUAGGACUGAAGAAACCCAGCCUUUAAGGUGAGGUGCCAGCUGCAGUCCUGCUCACCCUGUCUGACUGGGGACUGGCCGGCCCUUGGAACUACAGAAGAGGGGCAGUCUCGAUCAAUUACCCUUGUUGGCAGCAAUCUGAGCAGGAAAAUGGAGAGAAUCUGUUCCCCACCUAUGGGGUGGGGGCCUGCCCUCCCAUUUUUCCAGACUGUGCCCUGAGAAGAGCACAUGCUUGUAUCAACUUUUCCAUCUCCUCUACUCCCUUUUCAAGGCUGAAGGCUCCAUCUUAUCCUCUGGGCUUGCUCAUGAACCUACUCCUCAGUAACAAGGCAGUAGACAUUGCGAGACCAGAUAUGGCAGACCAGCACACACAACCAACUUCAUCCCAUUUUUUACAUGCCAGAGAGGAUGGUAUUGCAGUGUGUCUCACAUGAUAAUUUGUUGAAUCUUCAGAAGAAAAUGAUCUCAUCACUAGUACACCUUAACAUAUCGACCUCAGCUUGCCUUGGCAGGGUGUCAGGCAAGUUGCUCACUUGGGAAUUUUUCAAGGUCCUUGUUGGAAUGCUUUGUUCCCCAUUUACUUUAAAGUUGAUUAAACCAGGUUUGAAGAACUUGCAGAUGUGCAUUCCUUUACAGUACCAACAGGCACUGCAGUUAGUAAAUAUUUAUCAAAUAGAGAUGAAGAAAUUAAAAGAAUACUAUGUUUUUUACAUUAUGUGAUAAAUAGCUGGCAAUUUAACCCUAAAUCAGGUUAUGUCUCUGUUCUAACUUUGCCAUGAAAAAUUUGUCUACUUUUCUGAACUAUACUAGUUGUUGUAAAGUAGCUUUAUUCUCAAAUAUUCUGUGUUAUUUUAUAGUUUGUUGGUCUUUUAAUUGUGUAAGUCAUAAUGCAUGCAAAAUUGUUUAAAAUUUCCUCUUCACAAUGUUAAAAACACAAGUUUCUAUUUCUUUAAAUGUACCAUGUUUUCGCAUAGCAGUACACAGUAAAGAGUCCAAUAGGUUAACAAUUUCCUUAUUAGCUGUACCUUCAGAAUUAUCCUUUUCUCCCUGUCAGAAUCAAACUGCACAAUUCAAGACUGCACAGAGUUCUCCUGAAUUGGCCAUAUCCAAGUGCACCAAGCGGGAUGAAAGAAAGAGAAAAUGGCAAACUUGUGACAAUGACACUAGUACUGAAGAUAAUAAAAGGAGGCAAAGACAG